AAUGCGUAGAUAUCGGGAAGAACACCAGUGGCGAAGGCGGCUCUCUGGCCUAGAACUGACGCUGAAGCGCGAAAGCGUGGGGAGCGAACGGGAUUAGAUACCCCGGUAGUCCACGCCGUAAACGUUGUGUACUAGGUGUUAGUGGCUUGACCACUAGUGCCGUCGCAAACGCAUUAAGUACACCGCCUGGGGAGUACGUCCGCAAGGAUGAAACUCAAAGAAAUUGACGGGGGCCCGCACAAGCGGUGGAGCAUGUGGUUUAAUUCGAUGAUACGCGAAGAACCUUACCUGGGCUUGAACUGUACUUGAUCGGUGUAGAGAUACACCCUCCUUCGGGCAGGUGCAGAGGUGCUGCAUGGUUGUCGUCAGCUCGUGUCGUGAGAUGUUGGGUUAAGUCCCGCAACGAGCGCAACCCUUACCCCUUGUUGCCAUCAGGUAAUGCUGAGCACUCUAGGGGAACUGUCGGUGAUAACACGGAGGAAGGUGGGGAUGACGUCAAAUCAUCACGGCCAUUAUGUCCAGGGCUACACACGUGCUACAAUGGCCGGUACAAUGAGUUGCGAGACCGCGAGGUGGAGCUAAUCUCAAAAACCGUCUCAGUUUCGGAUGCAGUCUGCACUCGACUGCAUGAGCUGAAUCGCUAGU
rnacentral:rRNA from 1 species